rnacentral:rRNA from 1 species
AACACAUGCAAGUCGAACGGGCGUAGUAAUACGUCAGCGGCAGACGGGUGAGUAACGCGUGGGAACGUACCUUUUGGUUCGGAACAACACAGGGAAACUUGUGCUAAUGCCGGAUAAGCCCUUACGGGGAAAGAUUUAUCGCCGAAAGAUCGGCCCGCGUCUGAUUAGCUAGUUGGUGAGGUAAUGGCUCACCAAGGCGACGAUCAGUAGCUGGUCUGAGAGGAUGAUCAGCCACAUUGGGACUGAGACACGGCCCAAACUCCUACGGGAGGCAGCAGUGGGGAAUAUUGGACAAUGGGGGCAACCCUGAUCCAGCCAUGCCGCGUGAGUGAUGAAGGCCCUAGGGUUGUAAAGCUCUUUUGUGCGGGAAGAUAAUGACGGUACCGCAAGAAUAAGCCCCGGCUAACUUCGUGCCAGCAGCCGCGGUAAUAC